GCCAGCCCGCUCAGAAACUCAAAGGAAUUGACGGGGCCCGCACAAGCGGUGGAGCAUGUGGUUUAAUUCGAUGAUACGCGAGGAACCUUACCUGGGCUCAAAUGUAUGUUGACGUAUUCUGAAAGGGAUACUUCUUCGGACAAUAUACAAGGUGCUGCAUGGUUGUCGUCAGCUCGUGCCGUGAGGUGUCGGGUUAAGUCCCAUAACGAGCGCAACCCCUAUCAUUAGUUGCCAUCAGGUCAAGCUGGGGACUCUAAUGAAACUGCCUACGCAAGUAGUGAGGAAGGUGGGGAUGACGUCAAAUCAGCACGGCCCUUACGUCCAGGGCUACACACGUGCUACAAUGGCCGGUACAAAGGGCAGCUACCUGGUGACAGGAUGCUAAUCUCAAAAGCCGGUCUCAGUUCGGAUUGAAGUCUGCAACUCGACUUCAUGAAGCUGGAAUCGCUAGUAAUCGUGGAUCAGCCAAGCCGCGGUGAAUACGUUCCCGGGCCUU
rnacentral:rRNA from 1 species